GACGAACGCUGGCGGCGUGCUUAACACAUGCAAGUCGAACGAAGAGCGAUGGAAGCUUGCUUCUAUCAAUCUUAGUGGCGAACGGGUGAGUAACGCGUAAUCAACCUGCCCUUCAGAGGGGGACAACAGUUGGAAACGACUGCUAAUACCGCAUACGAUCUAAUCUCGGCAUCGAGGAUAGAUGAAAGGUGGCCUCUACAUGUAAGCUAUCACUGAAGGAGGGGAUUGCGUCUGAUUAGCUAGUUGGAGGGGUAACGGCCCACCAAGGCGAUGAUCAGUAGCCGGUCUGAGAGGAUGAACGGCCACAUUGGGACUGAGACACGGCCCAGACUCCUACGGGAGGCAGCAGUGGGGAAUCUUCCGCAAUGGACGAAAGUCUGACGGAGCAACGCCGCGUGAGUGAUGACGGCCUUCGGGUUGUAAAGCUCGGUUAAUCGGGACGAAAGGCCUUCUUGCGAAUAGUGAGAAGGAUUGACGGUACCGGAAUAGAAAGCCAUGGCUAACUACGUG
rnacentral:rRNA from 1 species